AUGAUAUGGAGGAUUGAAAGGCUAUAUAUAAGAGUCUGGGGCAAGCAGUCAAUAUUACUCAAGGUGGGUUUAUUUUGUCAAAUAUUGGACUUCCCCCGUUAUUGCCCAGGAAAUAGUCUAUUGAAUGAUUACUUUUUGUUGCAGGCCAUGUUGUCACAAUAUAUGGGAACCUGUGAGAGUUCCGCGGAGAUGGAUGAUGUAACCUGUUGUCACGGAGCCGCAGCACGACACACUCUGAUCCUCUGCGCCAAGAGCCGACAUGCAGACAGCAAAGGAAUAUAACGCAAUCCAGGAGUCUGGAGAAACUUCGGCCCACAGAACGUUCUCUCUCUCUAUCCUUCUCUCUGUCUGUCUCUUAGCAUUAUUUUAUUCAUGAUUAUAUUGUAUUGUAUUAAUAUGAAACACAUUUUCUGUUAAAACAAAAGUGUUGUCACUAUGUUUUUGAAACAUUUCAUGUCAAAUGUUAAGAUUAUAUUAUUGACAUUUGGAAGCUACUCAAAAAACAUUUUACCAAAAUUUUUUGUUUCAUUGAAAACAGUUCACUUUAGAAUUAUUGUCUAUUUUGUAAAUAAAAUUGAUCAGGACGUAAACUCAAACCUGCAUCAAACUUAUGUCAGGUAAUAUGUCACUUUUCAGCGUAAAUUGCUGAUUAAACAUUGUGAUCUAAUAUAAAUACACACAAAUCUGCGGUUUUGCCCUGUGAAAAUAUGUGUGUGUGUGUGUGUGUGUGUGUGUGUGUGUGUGUGUGUGUGUGUGUGUACAGACGUGUCAUCUGUGUGUGCAGAGCUGGUGUGAAUGACGCCGUGAGGCUGCUCGAGAAGCCACAAGAGAGAAAUGAGACUGACAGAAUGCGAGACAGAGAUUAUUAACACCAGAGUUCUCCCUGAGCAAAAGUGCCUCUACGAUGCUACGGGGCUGCCAAGACUAUGCUGUGCGGUUGCUAGGAGGUUUCCAGGUGUUCUAAGUGUUUUCUUGCAGGUGUAAAUCAAAGCAGCUCUUUAUUUUUAUUUAAAUUAUGAUUGAAUUUAUUUCUGCUUAUAUAUCACACUUUUAUUUUGUUUCUGUUUUAAGUUAGAAUGCUCAAAAUACUUGUUAAAUAUCAGUUUCAUAUUCUAACACUUGUUAUAAAUAUAUGAUUAAUUAACAUAUACAGUGGUGGCAAAAUUGUUAGAACAUUUGGCAUAUUUAAGAGGUUUUAGUUGUUUUUGUUAAAUUGGCCAUUACAAUACCCUUACAACUAACUAUUGCCAGAACCACCUGCUACGGAAUGAAUCUGCUGGAACAUUUUAUAAUGACGGACAUGCCCCCUCAAAGUCUGCACAUCGACCUCAACGAGCAAAUUUGGGGCGAGUUGGAAAAUAAACUGGACAGAUCUAUUGUCCAUUCAAGCCUCUGGCUUGAGUUGCAGAAGGCAUGGGAUAACAUUAGUGUUCUCAGGAAAUAUACUGACACUGCACCAGAGAGAUGUGCUGCUGUAAUUGCUGCAAAAGGUGGACAUACCAAAUAUUGAAGUUGAAAGUGGAUAAAAACAGUACAACUUCAUGUGAUAUUUCUUGUGCUCAGAGCAACCAUUUGCAUGUUUCAUGAACAUUAUAUACAAUAUUUUCAGAUCUGUCAGGUGUUCUAAUAAUUUUGGCCACAACUGUAAAUCAUAUAAAUAUUUUGGGGCAACAGAACGGUCAAAACAAUAAUAUUUGAUUAUAAUAUUCACAAAAUGCAAAUAUUUUAAUUUAUUUUAUUUUACUUUAUUCAAAAUAUUUGUUGAAUAACAUUUUCAUAAUUGCAAUAUAUAAAUAUAAUAUAAUUCAUAUUUUAAUAUUUCUUUUUAAUUUUAUUUAUGGGCUUGGGGAAAACUUGACUGAGUAAAGAGGAUGCUCAAAAUAUUUGUUUAACAUUUUGACAAAAUUCUUUCUAUUAGGUUAAGUAAAAUAGUAUUAUUUAUGCCCUCAUAUAAAUAAAAUGCGCUUCAAAUUCAACUUCAAUAUCGCCGUUAAUAAUAAUAAAGUUCCUAGGUAUAAUAUGUUCUAAUACUUUUCAACAUACAGGUUUAUUAACCAUGGCAAAAAAGUCUGUGAAUUCCAAAAAGACGAGCUCCGAUCGUGCCGACAGAACUGCAGUUGGCCGCUAGGGAGGGCUGCUGUACCGCCGUUCUCCGUAUCGCCGCCGUGCUCCGCUAGACGCUGCUGCCGCUCGUGUCCCUCGCUUUCUCUCUCUAAUCACGCUCUGCGUCUCUCCCUCUCUCUUUAUCAUUCUGAGCCACCCCUCCUCCCCCCGUCACUUACCCUGCCCUUCUGAGAGAAGAAUCCACGGCGUGUGCGAUUUAGAGGCUGUGCGCUUAUGUGUGUGCGUGUUAGUUUAUGAGCCCUGGCUUCUGUUUGUGUGUGCGUAGAGGUGCUAUGAAGGCCGGCUCUAUUGUGUGCAGCGCAGUGUUCUGUUACCUGCGCGCGAGUGAUUAGAGCGCCGUAAUAAACGGAGGGAGAGAUAGAGCGAGAGAGAGAGAGAGAGAAGGAGGGGGGUGAACGAGGGAUAGGUUGAGUGGAAGAGUAAUAAAGACCGAGGGAGGAGAUGAAAUUCCAGCUGCCUGUGAAAGGCUGUUUCCUGCAGCGCUGCCACGAGAUUAAUGACGAGAGAAAGAGAGAGAGAGAGAGAGAGAGAGAUGGAGACAGGAAGAGUGCCGCGCAAACGACUCCGUGAAAGUAUCCGGUCGGUGGCGACGGCGUCCCGUUUAGCGGCGCGCAGCUCAGUUUAAUCUGGUUUGAAGUUCUCUCUUAUCAUUUUAAUAGCGUUCUUUCACACGCGCACGGAUCACUGUCGAGGCAGAUCGGCAGAUAUCGCGCGCUCAGAGGGCAUGCAGAGACAUUCACAGUGCCAGUGCGCCGCGCGCCUGCCAGGCGUCGUUUCUCAUCGCUGCCAGGCCUCGUGCUCUGCUCUCCUUGUGCUUUGGAUGAAAGAAAGCAUUUCAUUUUACGUCACGGCUGGACGUAAAAGUGAGAAGAAAAGAGAGUUUGCUAGAUUGUCCUCAUUGCACUGCUUUCCAGAUCGAUAUGCCAUUAGCACAGUUAGCUGCAUUUUUUUAUGUUUUGCGACUCAUGGCCUCUCUCUUUAGCUAAUUUCGUUGACCUAUCACUUCAAUAUUACCAUAACUUUUUCUUUUUAUACCAGUAAUGACGUUACUACUUGAUGAUACUUUCAGAGUUAAUCACCUCUUAGUUAAAUUAAUCCCAACUAUGCUUACCGUAUGUUUUGCAGUCCUCCGUGUCUUGAGUAUGUCCUGUGCUUGCUAAAUUACCUGUGCUAACUCGAUUAACUGUUAAUUGUUCGAACUGGGUCAUCUUUACCUACGCUAGCAGGGUCAACUAUACCCUCAGAGCUACCUGUGUGGUUCAGCAAAUUUUCUCAAAAAAUCAGUAGGCCGAAUUUCAAUAGAAAUUCACACAAUUGGGAAUUUCGCCUAAGAGUUAAAGAUUUCCCUACGUAAAUUUUGAAUUGAAUUGACAAUAGACAAUGGACCGUUGUGCCUGCAACAUUUCACAGUAAAUGUUCUAUUACUGUAACCUUUAGCCAUGUGGUGUUCUCUGAUAUAGCUGGGAUAACUUUGUCACAUUUUGUGCUAAUGUGCUAAGUGUCAUCUGCGCUUUGCUAAUUUUGCUUUUCUUAGCUAACGUUAACUUGUGCGCUAAAUUUGCUAUUUCCUUUUAACUUUGCUAACUGUGCUAUUUGUUUACUUUUUCAGUUUUAACAUUUGCACUAUGUUCUCUGAUGUGUGUCAACAGUCAAAUUACCCGUGCUUUCCAUUACUUUCUAAGCUUUACCAAGUUACCGGAGAUAUCGGUGUUAACUAGCCUAUGUCUGAAGUAUUGUUCUCGGAGUUUUAGAUUGCUGUGUUGUGCCAUCUAAAACCUAUUUAGCCUGUGCUAAUGAGUGAAAUAUUUCACAAACUGUUUAGCCCACUACCAAACCAAUUCCUUAACAACAUAUUGUCCAAUAUAUAACAAUAUAUAAGGGUUGUCCUUCUCAACUUUGUUUUUGAACUAUGUCAAGCUUCACUCGUGCGCUACGUUCUGCUUUCUAUAUUUACCGAAACGAUCGCAGGAACGAAGCGGCAGAGGUCUACGGCUGCAGGAUUUCUCCGGGGAACAUCUUGCCGUCACGCUUCACUGGCGUCUGAAGAGCGCCAGGGAAACCCUGACUGCAGGAGCGGGACAAGAGCUGAGACGAGAAAAGAGACAGAGCGUGAGGGAAUGAACGCAGCGGCGCGUGUGUGCGCGAGGCUCUGUGGGAGAGAAACAGGUGCUUCCUGUGCUUUUGAAAUGCGAGUAUGUGUGUGCGCACGUAGCGCUGCCUGAAAAGCGUGUGCUGUUUGCAUGCGAUUACUGGCUCCGCUCUGAGUGUGUGUGUGUGUACCUGGCUCACGCUGAGACAGGACCAUUAAUCCUGCUUACUGGCCGUCGAGCAGCGCAGAGCAGCGGAGAGAUAAAGAGCCAAAUCCCUCUCUCUCUCGCUCGCUCGCUUGCUCGCUCUAGGCUUGAUGACUGACUCGGCCUGUCUGUCGUCACCUGUAACGAGUCGACGUGAUUUAAUUCAAUUGCGUUCGAUUCAGCGACUCAACUGUAAUGUCAUAAACUGUGAUAUGAUAAUUGUAUUGAUGAUGCGCAUCCUGCGGGUUGAAUAGCUCAUCCAAGACCAGAUGGGUGUUCUGCGGUUGCGUGAAAUCGUUACUAGUGAGGUCAGAUCAACACUGACCUGGAGUCACGGGGAGAGAGAGAGAGAAAGAGCUGUGUGUCGGGUCACAGCGCUGGUCACACUUUCUGUAACACGCGUUCAUCAAUAACUGCCUGAUCG
ensembl:lncRNA